AAAAAUACAAAAAUUAGCCGGCGUCGUGGCACACGCCUGUAGUCCCAACUAGUCAGGAGGCUGAGGCAGGAGAAUCACUUGAACCUGAGAGGCGGAGGUUGCAGUGAGUCGCAAACGCACCAGUGCACUCCAGCCUGGGUAACAGAGCGAGACUCUGUCUCAAAACAAAACAAAACAAAAAACCUAACAAAAACAAUAGCUACCAUUUACUAGACACUCACUACAUACCAGGCACUGUGCCAAACAGCUCCUUCUUAUCAGCUCAGGGUGCUGGGGGUGCCAGGGAGGGAAGGUCGAUGAAACCGUGGCGGGUGUCGGUUAAGCAAAAGAAGGCUGGCCUCUGUGCAGCUGGGGGCAGGCCUUCCCUCCUCCAACCCCCUUGGCCAGGAGCAUCACAGGGCAGGCCUGAGCUUCCACAGGGUGACCCAGCCAGUCACCAUGAGGCAGGCCCCAGGUGCCAGGCCACUCUGCAGAGGAGCCACGCAGGAGGUGACCUUUCCUAUCUUGACUGAAACGGGCUCCUGGUGUGGAGGCCAAGUCUGGAGCCAGCCCCCUAGGAGAGCUCCAGGAGGCAGAGAUGCCUGCGGGGUCGAAGCCUGCCAGCUGACUGCUGUGCCCUCCUCAGGACCCUGCUCCAGCAGCUGCAGAAACUCCAGACUCUGGUCACCAACAAGAUCUCCAGACCUUACAAGAUGGCCGCCACCCAGACUGGGACCUGCCUCAUGGUGGCAGCCUUGUGCUUUGUUCUGGUGCUGGGCUCCCUCGUGCCCUGCCUUCCUGAGUUCUCCUCUGGCUCCCAGACUGUGAAGGAAGACCCCAUGGCCGCAGACAGCGUCUACACGGCCAGCCAGAUGCCCUCCCGGAGCCUCCUAUUCUACGAUGACGGGGCAGGCUCAUGGGAAGAUGGCCGCAGCGCCCUGCUGCCCAUGGAGCCCCCAGAUGGCUGGGAAAUCAACCCCGGGGGGCCAGCAGAGCAGCGGCCCCAGGACCACCUGCAGCAUGAUCACCUGGACAGCACCCACGAGACCACCAAGUACCUGAGUGAGGCCUGGCCUAAAGACGGUGGAAACGGCACCAGCCCCGACUUCUCCCACUCCAAAGAGUGGUUCCACGACAGGGAUCUGGGCCCCAACACCACCAUCAAACUCUCCUAGGCCAUGCCAAGACCCAGGACAUAGGACGUACCCCUGGCACCCAGAAGAGGAGUUCUUGCUCACUAACCCGGAUCCGCUUCAUGCCCCUGCCUCCUGGAGCUUCCCAUUCCAGGAGAAAAGGCUCCACUUCCCAGCCCUUCCUUGCCCCUGACAUUUGGACUCUUCCCUUGGGCCGACCACUCUGUUCUCAUUCUCCUUCCCACCAGUAUCCAUCCGUCCUUCUCAGACAAACCACUCACUGGGUACCCCACCUCCUCUCUCAUAUGCCCACCACGACCACUGCCUCCCUGCCCCCACACCUGCACCCAAACAGACACAUCAACUCACCCCACUCACAGACACCCCCUCACCCCACCCCCACUGUACAGAGACCAAGAACAGAAAUUGUUUGUAAAUAAUGAACCUUAUUUUUUAUUAUUGCCAAUCCCCUAAGAUAUUGUAUUUUACAAAUCUCCCUCUUCCCUUCGCCCCUCCCUUGUUUUAUAUUUUAUGAAGUUAGUGCGGGCUUUGCUGCUCCCUGGCCCAGGAAAGAGGGACUCCCCGACCCUCACCUGGCACCCCUCUGCUGCUGCCCAAGCCGCUGGGCCUUUUUAAUUGCCAAACUGCUCUCUUCAUCAGCUCAGCACAUGCUUUAAGAAAGCAAAACUGAAAAAAAAAAAAAAAAA
rnacentral:sRNA from 1 species